CUAAAUUUAUAAUAAUGUUACCACCAACCAACCAUAUAGAUAGUACAUAUUUGUUAAUUUACUCCUUUCUCUAUAUAGUAUAACAUCUCAUUGAGGACAUCUUUACCCUGUAUCUUCUAUUUCUAAAAUAUGGAGCAAGAAAAAGAAAAGAGAAAGCAAAUUACAAGAGAAGAAAGUGAACAAGAGAAAUGGGUUCAUGAUGGCUCUGUUGAUUUCAAAGGCAGAGUUCCUCUUCGUGCUUCAACUGGUGUAUGGAAAGCUUCUCUCUUUGUCCUCAGUUGGUGACUCUAGGCUGUCCUAAGGCCCAUAUUCCUCAUAGUCAUCGGCGUAGUAAUCAAUUUCAUAGUUUACUUUACGAGGCAUGGUUUUCGCAGCACACUGAGCACAAAAAAAAUAAAAGAACAAUAACAUAAAUAAUCGAAAAGGAAAAUAAGCAGAUUGAAGGAAAAAAAAGCUGAAGAAACUAAGCACACAAUAAAACAUGAAUUCGUACAUGUGCUGUAUAGAAUGAGUAUGGUAUAAGCAGUUAACAGAGCCGCAUGUGAAUGAAGCAGUCGCUUCAAUGUUGGUCUUUAACACGAAAGAGGGGAAUUGCAAAACCUAAUUGCUGAAAAGAAAAGCAAUGGAUCGAUUGAGAGAAAGUAUAUAGUGAAAUGGAAGAAACAAAAUGGGGUUCGUUUGGUUAGUAGGAAAGCUUAAAUCGAAAUCGGGAAACGAAA